CCGUCGAACCCCGGAAACCCGGGACCGGGCCGGACCGUUAGGUCGGGACGGGACGGUGAGUAACGCGUGGGCAAUCUGCCCCGUACCGGGGGAUAACACCUGGAAACAGGUGCUAACACCGCAUGACAGGCGGGGGCGCAUGCCCCGGCCUUGAAAACUCCGGUGGUACGGGAUGAGCCCGCGUCCGAUUAGCCAGUUGGCGGGGUAACGGCCCACCAAAGCGACGAUCGGUAGCCGGCCUGAGAGGGUGGACGGCCACAUUGGGACUGAGACACGGCCCAAACUCCUACGGGAGGCAGCAG
rnacentral:rRNA from 1 species